GUGUGUGGUUGUGUGUGUAUCUCUGUAGUUAAGUGUGUGUGUGUGUGUAUAUAAAUAUAUAUGUAUAUAUAUUAUAUAUAUAUAUACACACACACACACACACACACACACUUAAUUACAGAGAUACACACACAAC
rnacentral:miRNA from 1 species